AUUGAACGCUGGCGGCAUGCCUUACACAUGCAAGUCGAACGGCAGCACGGGGCAACCUGGUGGCGAGUGGCGUACGGGUGAGUAAUGCAUCGGAACGUACCUUUCAGUGGGGGAUAACGUAGCGAAAGUUGCGCUAAUACCGCAUAUUCUGUGAGCAGGAAAGCAGGGGAUCGCAAGACCUUGCGCUGAUUGAGCGGCGGAUGGCAGAUUAGCUAGUUGGUGAGGUAAAGGCUCACCAAGGCGACGAUCUGUAGCGGGUCUGAGAGGAUGAUCCGCCACACUGGAACUGAGACACGGUCCAGACUCCUACGGGAGGCAGCAGUGGGGAAUUUUGGACAAUGGGGGCAACCCUGAUCCAGCCAUGCCGCGUGAGUGAAGAAGGCCUUCGGGUUGUAAAGCUCUUUCGGCCGGGAAGAAAUCGCACGGGCUAAUACCCUGUGUGGAUGACGGUACCGGAAUAAGAAGCACCGGCUAACUACGUGCCAGCAGCCGCCGUAACAC
rnacentral:rRNA from 1 species